UACGUAGGGGGCAAGCGUUGUCCGGAAUCAUUGGGCGUAAAGAGCGUGUAGGCGGCUCGGUAAGUCCGCUGUGAAAGUCCAGGGCUCAACCCUGGAAUGCCGGUGGAAACUGUCGAGCUAGAGUCCGGAAGAGGCGAGUGGAAUUCCUGGUGUAGCGGUGAAAUGCGCAGAUAUCAGGAGGAACACCAAUGGCGAAGGCAGCUCGCUGGGACGGUACUGACGCUGAGAGACGAAAGCUAGGGGAGCGAAUGGG
rnacentral:rRNA from 1 species